rnacentral:rRNA from 1 species
GACGAACGCUGGCGGCGUGCCUAAUACAUGCAAGUCGAACGGACCUUGCUUUAACGGAUUGGAGUACUUGUACAAAGAGAAGAUAGAGCGCUGGUUAGUGGCGAACGGGUGAGUAACACGUGGACAACCUGCCUCAAGGCUGGGGAUAACAUUUGGAAACAGAUGCUAAUACCGAAUAAAACUUAGUGUCGCAUGACACAAAGUUAAAAGGCGCUUCGGCGUCACCUAGAGAUGGAUCCGCGGUGCAUUAGUUAGUUGGUGGGGUAAAAGCCUACCAAGACAAUGAUGCAUAGCCGAGUUGAGAGACUGAUCGGCCACAUUGGGACUGAGACACGGCCCAAACUCCUACGGGAGGCUGCAGUAGGGAAUCUUCCACAAUGGGCGAAAGCCUGAUGGAGCAACGCCGCGUGUGUGAUGAAGGCUUUCGGGUCGUAAAGCACUGUUGUAUGGGAAGAACAGCUAGAAUAGGAAAUGAUUUUAGUUUGACGGUACCAUACCAGAAAGGGACGGCUAAAUACGUGCCAGCCGCCGCCGUAAAAC